rnacentral:rRNA from 1 species
AUUGAACGCUGGCGGCAGGCCUAACACAUGCAAGUCGAACGAGUGGCGGACGGGAGAGUAAUGUAUGGGAAACUGCCCGAUGGAGGGGGAUAAAUACUGGAAACGGUAGCUAAUAACGCAAACCAUCGGAUGUGCCCAGAUGGGAUUAGCUAGUAGGUGGGGUAACGGCUCACCUAGGCGACGAUCCCUAGCUGGUCUGAGAGGAUGACCAGCCACACUGUCACUGAGACACGGUCCAGACUCCUACGGGAGGCAGCAGUGGGGAAUAUUGCACAAUGGGCGCCAGCCUUAUGCGGCCAUGCCGCGUGUAUGAAGAAGGCCUUCGGGUUGUAAAGUACUGUCAGCGAGGAGGCGUUACUCGCAGAAGAAGCACCGGCGAAAUCCGUGCCAGCAGCCGCGGUAAUAC